AUUGAACGCUGGCGGAAUGCUUUACACAUGCAAGUCGAACGGCAGCACGGACUUCGAUCUGGUGGCGAGUGGCGAACGGGUGAGUAAUGUAUCGGAACGUGCCCAGUCGUGGGGGAUAACGUAGUGAAAAUUACGCUAAUACCGCAUACGAUCUAUGGAUGAAAGCGGGGGAUCGCAAGACCUCGCGCGAUUGGAGCGGCCGAUAUCAGGUUAGGUAGUUGGUGGGGUAAAGGCCCACCAAGCCAACGAUCUGUAGCUGGGCUGAGAGGACGACCAGCCACACUGGAACUGAGACACGGUCCAGACUCCUACGGGAGGCAGCAGUGGGGAAUUUUGGACAAUGGGCGAAAGCCUGAUCCAGCCAUGCCGCGUGCAGGAUGAAGGCCCUCGGGUUGUAAACUGCUUUUGUACAGAACGAAAAGGUUUCUACUAAUACUAGGAGCUCAUGACGGUACUGUAAGAAUAAGCACCGGCUAACAACGUGCCAGCCGCCGCAGUAA
rnacentral:rRNA from 1 species